rnacentral:rRNA from 1 species
UGGGGAAUCUUCCGCAAUGGGCGAAAGCCUGACGGAGCAACGCCGCGUGAGUGAAGACGGCCUUCGGGUUGUAAAGCUCUGUUAUAUGGGACGAACGGGUGUAUGGUCAAUACCCAUACGCCGUGACGGUACCGUAAGAGAAAGCCACGGCUAACUACGUGCCAGCAGCCGCGGUAAUACGUAGGUGGCAAGCGUUGUCCGGAAUCAUUGGGCGUAAAGGGCGCGCAGGCGGUUCGGUAAGUCGGUCUUAAAAGUGCGGGGCUUAACCCCGUGAUGGGAUUGAAACUGCCGGACUGGAGUGUCGGAGAGGAAAGCAGAAUUCCUAGUGUAGCGGUGAAAUGCGUAGAUAUUAGGAGGAAUACCAGUGGCGAAAGCGGCUUUCUGGACGACAACUGACGCUGAGGCGCGAAAGCCAGGGGAGCAAACGGG